CCGUGCCCCCCUCCUGCGGGGGCUGAUGGUUCACAAACGUAGCUCGUCCCCGCCUGACGUUCCCGGAGACGGGAGCCUGGCGGCGGAGCAGCCCAGCCCUGCCGCGUGCCAGCUCCCGCGCCGGUCAGCGGCGGCGCCCGGCGCUCACCACCGCGGGGGGAUGCUGCCCCUCCGCCCCGCGCUGCUGCCCAAGCGAUACCGGGGCGGCUCGGCUCCGCGCUCGCGGCCGGGCCGCGCGGCCGCCCGAGCGGCGGCAGGAGGAGGAGGAGGGCGCGGCAGCGGCGGCGGCGGCAGCACCACCACCACGGGCGGCGGCGCCCCGGCGCUGGGCCCGCGCGGCGGCGUCGGGUCGGGCCGGGUGCCGGUCCGGCGGCGCGGGCCGGGGUCGCCGCGGGCUGCCCGGAGGGGGGCGGAGCAGGAGCUGCGCGAGCCGCCGCGCUCGUGCGCGAGCUGGCCGGUAGGGGCCGUUGCCACCCCCCGCAGGGGAAGGGGGGGCGGAGCCGGGCGCGGCGCGAGGCCGGGUCGCGGGGCGGCGGCGCUUCUCCUCGCCCAGCCGGCGGCGGGCCCCGCGGCGGUCAUGGCGGCCGUCCUGUCCCCGCGCCUUUGCGACAGCGACCCGGCCACGCCCGGCGCACAGUCCCUCAAGGAUGACACAGAAGAAAAUUCCAACGAUGGCAGCCAGCCAUCUAAAAGACGACGCAUGGGCUCAGGGGACAGUUCUCGGAGCUGUGAAACUUCUAGUCAAGACCUUGGAUACAGCUAUUUUCCUGCUGAAAACUUGAUAGAAUACAAGUGGCCACCGGAUGAAACAGGAGAAUACUAUAUGCUUCAAGAACAAGUCAGUGAAUAUUUGGGUGUGACUUCCUUUAAAAGAAAAUACCCAGAUUUAGAAAGACGAGAUCUAUCUCACAAGGAGAAACUCUACCUCAGAGAACUAAAUGUUAUCACAGAGACCCAGUGCACACUAGGUCUAACAGCUUUGCGUAGUGAUGAAGUAAUUGAUCUUAUGAUUAAAGAAUAUCCUGCCAAACAUGCUGAGUAUUCUGUUAUACUGCAAGAGAAAGAGCGUCAGCGAAUAACAGAUCAUUAUAAAGAGUACUCUCAAAUGCAGCAGCAGAACACACAGAAAGUAGAAGCCAGUAAAGUUCCAGAAUACAUUAAAAAAGCUGCCAAGAAAGCUGCAGAAUUCAACAGCAAUUUAAACCGGGAGCGGAUGGAAGAACGAAGAGCCUAUUUUGAUUUACAGACACAUAUUAUCCAGGUACCUCAAGGAAAAUACAAAAUCUUACCUACAGAGAGAACAAAGGUUAGUCCUUAUCCAGUGGCUCUCAUACCCGGCCAGUUCCAGGAGUACUACAAAAGGUACUCUCCAGAUGAGCUUCGUUACUUGCCAUUAAACACAGCUCUUUACGAACCUCCUUUGGAUCCAGAGCUGCCUGCAUUAGACAGUGAUGGAGACUCAGAUGAUGCAGAAGAAGGACGAGGGGAUGAGAAACGGAAAACCAAAGGCAAUUCGGACAAUUCGUCUGGCAAUGUAUCUGAAGGUGAUUGCGCCACAGAGAACCAGGAGGAUUCUUUUCAGGGAAGACAAAAAACAAGAGACAAAAGUGCUACUCCAAGAAAAGAUGGUUCCAAACGUUCUGUAUUAUCCAAAUCAGUUCCUGGGUACAAGCCAAAGGUCAUUCCAAAUGCUAUAUGUGGAAUUUGUCUGAAGGGUAAGGAGUCCAACAAGAAAGGAAAAGCUGAAGCUCUUAUACAUUGCUCCCAGUGUGACAACAGCGACAUAAAAGUAAUAAUAAUGGUUUUAAUCUAGGCCACCCUUCUUGCCUUGAUAUGACCCCGGAGCUUGUUGCUAUGAUUAAGACUUACCCUUGGCAAUGUAUGGAGUGUAAAACAUGCAUUAUAUGCGGGCAGCCUCACCAUGAAGAAGAAAUGAUGUUCUGUGAUGUAUGUGACCGUGGUUACCACACUUUCUGUGUGGGACUUGAUGCCAUCCCUUCAGGUCGCUGGAUUUGUGAUUGUUGUCAGAAAGACUCUCCUGUACCCAGAAGAGGAGGAAGAAGGGGGAAAAACAGCAAGGAGGGCUAAAACCCCCCCAGAAACUUGCUGUCCAAAACUUAACUGCACAAAUUGAAGUGAUACUUUGGUGCUAUUUAACCAACCACUCUAAGAGGAACAAUACCACUUUAUUUUUUUUUUUUUCCUUUUUACCAAAUAAACUCUCAAUUUUGUCUA